rnacentral:tRNA from 1 species
GGUAGUAUGGCUGAUUAAAGCGGUAAUCUGUAAAAUUAUACAUAGGAUAUUCCUUGCUGCCA